rnacentral:rRNA from 1 species
UACGGAGGGUGCAAGCGUUGUCCGGAUUUACUGGGUUUAAAGGGUGCGUAGGCGGUUAAUUAAGUCAGUGGUGAAAUAAUCUCGCUUAACGGGAAGACUGCCAUUGAUACUGGUUAACUUGAGUGUGAUUGGGGUACUCGGAAUUUAUGGUGUAGCGGUGAAAUGCAUAGAUACCAUAAGGAACACCGAUAGCGUAGGCAGGGUACCAAGUCAUUACUGACGCUGAGGCACGAAAGCGUGGGUAUCAAACAGG